rnacentral:lncRNA from 1 species
CUGAUAUUGCAAUGUUUCUUUUCUUUUUAAAACAGAGCGGAGAGCCCAGAGCUUCGUAGAAACUACAAGUGGCAGCUCCGUGUGAGUGCCCACGCUAAGGCGGGCUGCCGAGCUGCCCUCCCGCUCCCGUCAGGCCACAGGCCCUCCAUGGGUGGCCAUGUGACAGUGCCUACUGCUCAUUACAGCCAGGGCAUUCAUCUGAGGACUCUGGCGUUCGUGUCACAUUCUUCUUGGUGCUUGUAUACAGUCAGUGAUUUGAAGGGGGCACCAGUUCAGAGGGAGAAGAACCGGGUCCCAAGAGGUGUUUUUGUUCUGUUCUGUUUAUUUAUGUAUUUAUUUGAGACAAAGUCUCGCUCUUU